CAACUCUCAUCCUACACCGUUGGAUCGAGAAAUGGACGUCCGAGAUUCGUCCACGUCACCAUGAGUUAAAAUAUAACUCGCAAAAUUCACUCAUGAGUUAAAAUUUACUGAGAGUUAAAUUUUAACUUAUGGUGACGUGGACGAAUCUCGGACACCCAUUUCUCGAUCCAACGGUGUAGGAUGAGAGUUG
rnacentral:pre_miRNA from 1 species